CAGGAGCAGCACAGCAGGCAGCUGCAGGGCAGUGGGAGGAGCUGUCGAGUCAGAAGCCCGGUAAACCCCGUCCUUACGAGCCCCGCCCCUAGCUCUUCUACUACGGAGGGGAACUGCAGAGCCAGAAGAGCACGGAGCAGCAACUCGCAGCCCAAUUGGUGACGCUGCAGAAUGAACUGGAGCUGGCGGAGACCAAAUGCGCCUUGCAGGAGGAGAAGCUGCAGCAGGACGCGCUGCAGACAGCGGAGGCCUGGGCCAUAUUCCAGGAGCAGACCGUAGUCCUGCAGGUGCGGCCCCACUCAGACGCCAAGGUGCCUCCCGCCUCUCCUCCCCCAGACCUGGGGCGGUGUGACGGGCAGCUUCGCAGAGUGCAGUACAGCACCGAGUCGCUCAUGGAGGAGAUGGCCAGGGCGGACCGAGUGAGCGCCUGCGCGGGAGACGCGGCUGUUCGGCGGUCCUCGCGCGCUGGCCAUCAGGCGCUGCUGACGCUGCCGCUCCUCUUCCUGGGGCUGUCGCUGCUCUGGACGGUGCUGUUGGACCCCGGCGCCGUCUCCGCGUGGCUCUGGAGCCUCACCUCGGAGACGACGCUGCGCCGCCUGCGCUACACGCUGUCCCCGCUGCUGGAGCUGCGCGCUAACGGGCUGCUGCCAACCUAAGUGCAGCGCCCCGCG
rnacentral:lncRNA from 1 species